AGGAGUUUGAUCCUGGCUCAGAUUGAACGCUGGCGGCAUGCCUUACACAUGCAAGUCGAACGGCAGCACGGGAGCAAUCCUGGUGGCGAGUGGCGAACGGGUGAGUAAUAUAUCGGAACGUGCCCAGUAAUGGGGGAUAGCCCGGCGAAAGCCGGAUUAAUACCGCAUACGACCUACGGGUGAAAGCGGGGGAUCGCAAGACCUCGCGUUAUUGGAGCGGCCGAUAUCAGAUUAGCUAGUUGGCGGGGUAAGAGCCCACCAAGGCGACGAUCUGUAGCUGGUCUGAGAGGACGACCAGCCACACUGGGACUGAGACACGGCCCAGACUCCUACGGGAGGCAGCAGUGGGGAAUUUUGGACAAUGGGCGCAAGCCUGAUCCAGCCAUGCCGCGUGUGGGAAGAAGGCCUUCGGGUUGUAAACCACUUUUGUCAGGGAAGAAACGGCUCUUACUAAUAUUAGGGGCUAAUGACGGUACCUGAAGAAUAAGCACCGGCUAACUACGUGCCAGCAGCCGCGGUAAUACGUAGGGUGCAAGCGUUAAUCGGAAUUACUGGGCGUAAAGCGUGCGCAGGCGGCUUUGCAAGACAGAUGUGAAAUCCCCGGGCUCAACCUGGGAACUGCAUUUGUGACUGCAUGGCUAGAGUACGGUAGAGGGGGAUGGAAUUCCGCGUGUAGCAGUGAAAUGCGUAGAUAUGCGGAGGAACACCGAUGGCCGAAGGCAAUCCCCUGGACCUGUACUGACGCUCAUGCACGAAAGCGUGGGAGCAAAACAG
rnacentral:rRNA from 1 species